rnacentral:rRNA from 1 species
GGAGAGGGGAGUGAAAUAGAUCCUGAAACCGUGUGCGUACAAGCAGUAGGAGCUCGCAAGAGUGACUGCGUACCUUUUGUAUAAUGGGUCAGCGACUUACUGUUCGUGGCAAGCUUAACCGUAUAGGGGAGGCGAAGGGAAACCGAGUCUGAUAAGGGCGCAUAGUCGUGGGCAGUAGACCCGAAACCGGGUGAUCUAGUCAUGGCCAGGGUGAAGGUGCCGUAACAGGUACUGGAGGCCCGAACCCACGUCUGUUGCAAAAGACGGGGAUGAGCUGUGAUUAGGAGUGAAAAGCUAAUCGAACCCGGAGAUAGCUGGUUCUCCUCGAAAGCUAUUUAGGUAGCGCCUCAUAUGUAUCCUCUCGGGGGUAGAGCACUGUUAUGGCUAGGGGGUCAUCGCGACUUACCAAACCAUUGCAAACUCCGAAUACCGAGACGGACUGUAUGGGAGACACACGGCGGGUGCUAACGUCCGUCGUGAAAAGGGAAACAACCCAGACCCACAGCUAAGGUCCCAAAUUCACUGCUAAGUGGAAAACGAUGUGGAAAGGCAUAGACAGCCAGGAGGUUGGCUUAGAAGCAGCCACCCUUUAAAGAAAGCGUAAUAGCUCACUGGUCGAGUCGGUCUGCGCGGAAGAUUUAACGGGGCUAAGCAGUGAACCGAAGCUUGGGGUGCAUAAAACGUGUUUUAUGCGCGGUAGAGGAGCGUUCCGUAAGCCUGCGAAGGUGGAUUGAGAAGUCUGCUGGAGGUAUCGGAAGUGCGAAUGCUG